rnacentral:snoRNA from 1 species
UGAGCUGGAUGAUGACCACUGGUGGCGUAUGAGUCAUCUACGAUGAAUACGUGGGACUCUGAGGCUCGC